GUGGGGAAUAUUGCACAAUGGGCGGAAGCCUGAUGCAGCAACGCCGCGUGCGGGAUGACGGCCUUCGGGUUGUAAACCGCUUUCAGCAGGGACGAAGCGCAAGUGACGGUACCUGCAGAAGAAGCACCGGCUAACUACGUGCCAGCAGCCGCGGUGAUACGUAGGGUGCGAGCGUUGUCCGGAUUUAUUGGGCGUAAAGAGCUUGUAGGCGGUUGGUUGCGUCGAAAGUGCAAACUCAGGGCUUAACUCUGAGCCUGCUUUCGAUACGGGCUGACUUGAGGAAGGUAGGGGAGAAUGGAAUUCCCGGUGGAGCGGUGGAAUGCGCAGAUAUCGGGAGGAACACCAGUGGCGAAGGCGGUUCUCUGGACCUUUCCUGACGCUGAGAAGCGAAAGCGUGGGGAGCAAACAGGCUUAGAAACCCUAGUAGUCC
rnacentral:rRNA from 1 species